rnacentral:rRNA from 1 species
UUCCGGUUGAUCCCGCCGGAGGUCACUGCUAUCGGGGUUCGAUUAAGCCAUGCGAGUCGAGAGGGUUCAGACCCUCGGCGGACUGCUCAGUAACACGUGGAUAAUCUGCCCUAUGGUGGAGGAUAACCCCGGGAAACUGGGGACAAUACUCCAUAAGUCAGGAGUACUGGAAUGUCUCCUAACUGAAAGUUUCGGCGCCAUAGGAUGAAUCUGCGGCCGAUUAGGUAGUUGUUGGAGUAACGGCCCAACAAGCCCGUAAUCGGUACGGGUUGUGGGGGCAAGAGCCCGGAGAUGGAAUCUGAGACACGAUUCCAGGCCCUACGGGGCGCAGCAGGCGCGAAAACUUUACAAUGCAGGAAACUGUGAUAAGGGAACCCCGAGUGCCCGUACACGCGGGCUGUCCCGGUGUUUAAAACACAUCGGAAGAAAGGGCCGGGCAAGACUGGUGCCAGCCGCCGCGGUAAUACCGGCGGCUCGAGUGGUGACCACUUUUAUUGGGCUUAAAGCGUUCGUAGCUUGAUUUUUAAGUCUCUUGGGAAAUCUCACGGCUUAACUGUGAGGCGUCUAAGAGAUACUGGGAAUCUAGGGACCGGGAGAGGUAAGAGGUACUUCAGGGGUAGAAGUGAAAUUCUGUAAUCCUUGAGGGACCACCGAUGGCGAAGGCAUCUUACCAGAACGGCUUCGACAGUGAGGAACGAAAGCUGGGGGAGCGAACGGGAUUAGAUACCCCGGUAGUCCCAGCCGUAAACUAUGCGCGUUAGGUGUGCCUGUAACUACGAGUUACCGGGGUGCCGAAGUGAAAACGUGAAACGUGCCGCCUGGGAAGUACGGUCGCAAGGCUGAAACUUAAAGGAAUUGGCGGGGGAGCACCACAACGGGUGGAGCCUGCGGUUUAAUUGGAUUCAACGCCGGG